AUUGAACGCUGGCGGCAUGCCUUACACAUGCAAGUCGAACGGCAGCACGGGUGCUUGCACCUGGUGGCGAGUGGCGAACGGGUGAGUAAUGCAUCGGAACGUACCAUUGAGUGGGGGAUAACGUAGCGAAAGUUACGCUAAUACCGCAUACGAUCUAUGGAUGAAAAGCGGGGGGACCGUAAGGCCUCGCGCGAUUGGAGCGGCCGAUGUCAGAUUAGGUAGUUGGUGGGGUAAAGGCCCACCAAGCCAACGAUCUGUAGCUGGUCUGAGAGGACGACCAGCCACACUGGGACUGAGACACGGCCCAGACUCCUACGGGAGGCAGCAGUGGGGAAUUUUGGACAAUGGGCGCAAGCCUGAUCCAGCAAUGCCGCGUGCAGGAAGAAGG
rnacentral:rRNA from 1 species